UACAGAGGGUGCGAGCGUUAAUCGGAAUUACUGGGCGUAAAGCGUGCGUAGACGGUUAUGUAAGUCGGGUGUGAAAGCCCCGGGCUCAACCUGGGAAUUGCAUUCGAGACUGCAUAGCUAGGGUGCGGAAGAGGGAAGCGGAAUUUCCGGUGUAGCGGUGAAAUGCGUAGAUAUCGGAAGGAACACCAGUGGGCGAAAAGCGGCUUCCUGGUCCAGCACCGGACGUCAGGCACGAAAGCGUGGGGAGCAAACAGG
rnacentral:rRNA from 1 species